GGGCCCGUAGCUCAGCCAGGUAGAGCGGCGGGCUUUUAACCCGUAGGCCAAGGCUCUGGGCGGAAGUCCCGGGUUCAAAUCCCGGCGGGCCCGCCA
rnacentral:tRNA from 1 species